rnacentral:rRNA from 1 species
AGAGUUUGAUCCUGGCUCAGGAUGAACGCUAGCUACAGGCUUAACACAUGCAAGUCGAGGGGCAGCAUGGUCUUAGCUUGCUAAGGCCGAUGGCGACCGGCGCACGGGUGAGUAACACGUAUCCAACCUGCCGUCUACUCUUGGACAGCCUUCUGAAAGGAAGAUUAAUACAAGAUGGCAUCAUGAGUCCGCAUGUUCACAUGAUUAAAGGUAUUCCGGUAGACGAUGGGGAUGCGUUCCAUUAGAUAGUAGGCGGGGUAACGGCCCACCUAGUCUUCGAUGGAUAGGGGUUCUGAGAGGAAGGUCCCCCACAUUGGAACUGAGACACGGUCCAAACUCCUACGGGAGGCAGCAGUGAGGAAUAUUGGUCAAUGGGCGAGAGCCUGAACCAGCCAAGUAGCGUGAAGGAUGACUGCCCUAUGGGUUGUAAACUUCUUUUAUAUGGGAAUAAAGUGGUCCACGUGUGGACUUUUGUAUGUACCAUAUGAAUAAGGAUCGGCUAACUCCGUGCCAGCAGCCGCGGUAAUACGGAGGAUCCGAGCGUUAUCCGGAUUUAUUGGGUUUAAAGGGAGCGUAGGCGGAUUGUUAAGUCAGUUGUGAAAGUUUGCGGCUCAACCGUAAAAUUGCAGUUGAUACUGGCAGUCUUGAGUGCAGUAGAGGUGGGCGGAAUUCGUGGUGUAGCGGUGAAAUGCUUAGAUAUCACGAAGAACUCCGAUUGCGAAGGCAGCUCACUGGAGUGUAACUGACGCUGAUGCUCGAAAGUGUGGGUAUCAAACAGGAUUAGAUACCCUGGUAGUCCACACAGUAAACGAUGAAUACUCGCUGUUUGCGAUAUACAGUAAGCGGCCAAGCGAAAGCAUUAAGUAUUCCACCUGGGGAGUACGCCGGCAACGGUGAAACUCAAAGGAAUUGACGGGGGCCCGCACAAGCGGAGGAACAUGUGGUUUAAUUCGAUGAUACGCGAGGAACCUUACCCGGGCUUAAAUUGCAGAUGAAUUACGGUGAAAGCCGUAAGCCGCAAGGCAUCUGUGAAGGUGCUGCAUGGUUGUCGUCAGCUCGUGCCGUGAGGUGUCGGCUUAAGUGCCAUAACGAGCGCAACCCUUAUCUUCAGUUACUAACAGGUCAUGCUGAGGACUCUGGAGAGACUGCCGUCGUAAGAUGUGAGGAAGGUGGGGAUGACGUCAAAUCAGCACGGCCCUUACGUCCGGGGCUACACA